GAUAGACACAUGAAGAACAGUUUCGGGGGUAUAUGUCAUGGCAGCCAUGCUGGUGGACUGGGGGCAGGUGUCAUGGCAGCCAUGCUGAUGGACUGGGGGCAGGUGUCAUGGCAGUCAUGCUGGUGGACUGGGGGCAGGUGUCAUGGCAGCCAUGCUGGUGGACUGGGGGCAGGUGUCAUGGCAGUCAUGCUGGUGGACUGGGGGCAGGUGUCAUGGCAGUCAUGCUGGUGGACUGGGGGCAGGUGUCAUGGCAGUCAUGCUGGUGGACUGGGGGCAGGUGUCAUGGCAGCCAUGCUGGUGGACUGGGGGCAGGUGUCAUGGCAGUCAUGCUGGUGGACUGGGGGCAGGUGUCAUGGCAGCCAUGCUGGUGGACUGGGGGCAGGUGUCAUGGCAGCCAUGCUGGUGGACUGGGGGCAGGUGUCAUGGCAGCCAUACUGGUGGACUGGGGGCAGGUGUCAUGGCAGCCAUGCUGGUGGACUGGGGGCAG